rnacentral:lncRNA from 1 species
UGGGUUAGAGGAAAGCUGCUGCGUUCAAGAGGAUAACGUGGGACCUGAGCAUUCUGUCAAAGUGGAGGAAGGAGGAGCUUGAGAUUGAAAAAUCAGUUUGAGAAGCAGCCACCUUGACUGGCUUCACUCUAAUAGCCUGGACGCUGCCUCCACACUCCAGGUGCACUGCUCAGCAUUCUCCAAGAAGAUCAUUAAGGCAGACCCUACGUGUUAAAUUUCAAUCAGUUUCAUUGAGCAAAUAUGCUGUUAAAUAGAGACUGCUGUGUGCUGCGUCAGUGUGCCUUAUGGGCAAAUGUGAUGGUGACUAUAAAUGCAGACCAAGCAGUCCUUCCCACACUGUGUACACAAAGAAAGGAGCUCUGGAACUGGGAGCCAGGACAUCUGCAGGAGGAGAAUUCUGAAGUGAAAGGAGGCCUGGAUAUUGGUUGCAAGGCCUUGUCCCUGGAGCCUGGAUGCUCUCAUACCUUCUACAUCUGGGCCUCUGGGUCCAGGACAGUGCCAGGGAGAGUUCAUAGAAACAAAUGUGUUGAAGACCUUAGCGGUUGUCUGACUCUGAGACAGUUACCUGGCCACUCUUAAGUUUCCUCAUUUUUUUUUUAAUUUUACUUUAAGUUGCGGGAUACAUGUGCAGAACGUGCAGGUUUGUUACAUAGGUAUGCAUGUGCCAUGGUGGUUUGCUGCACCUGUCAACCUUUCAUCUAGGUUUUAAGCCCCUCAUGCAUUAGAUAUUUGUCCUAAUGCUCUCCUUCCCCUUGGCCCCCUGUCAGGUCCUGGUGUGUGUGUUGUCUGGCCCCCACCGUGUCCAUGUGUUCCUAUUGUUCAUCUCCCAUUUAUGAGUGAGAAUAUGUGGUGUUUGGCUUUCUCUUCCUGUGUUAGUUUGCUGAGGAUGAUGGUUUCCAGCUUCAUCCAUGUCCCUGCAGAGGACAUGAUCUCAUCCUUUUCAUGGCUGCAUAGUAUUCCGUGUUGUGUAUAUACCACAUUUUCUUUAUCCAGUCUUUCAUUGGUGGACAUUUGGG